rnacentral:lncRNA from 1 species
AGAACAAAAUCGUUACUAUUUAAAUAAUGUACCAACUGAUAUGUAUCCUAGUUUAAGUUGUCCCGAUUACAACGAAUACUAUACUACUAAUAAAUUAUUAAAUGAUUCGGAUAAAUAUUAUCGUAGGGUUAAAAGUAAUAAUAAUAUAAUGAUGAAUGUUGCUGACAAUGGUAAUGAUGUAUUUUGUAACGACAUGAAACGAUCAAACAGGGUAUUUAAUUAUAAUGUUUCUACAGAGAUUGGUUCGGAUCAGUAUAACCAUAUCGAUUCAAGAAAUGUUAUACAUUAUGUAGAUAAUAAACCUACUGUUGAUUAUGCAUAUACAGGGUUUGAAAUUCGAUCAUGUAAAGAAGAUUUGAAACGGUUAGAGUAUAGUUUGAAUGAUAAAUAUGGUAGUUUUAAACUUUUUGAAAAAUGGCUUAAAGAUUGUUCUAAAUGGCAAUGGAUAGAUUUGAAGUUACAAAGUGAGUUUGUAACUAGUAAUGUUGAAUUAGAUAAAUUAAAAGAAGAGAAAAAGAUAUAUUUAGAAAAAUGUAUAAAUAAUAAAAUAAAAGAGUUAUGGUGUGCUUGUAUGAAAGGAUUAAUAAAUUUAAAACUAUGUGAUUUAGAAAAAAAAGUAGUAACAAAAUUUGCUCCUAAUAAAAUUAUAAAUAAUAAUAAUAUUAGCGAUGUGAUUUUAGAUUAUGAAAGAAAUGCAAUGUGUUAUCAUGACUUGUAUGCAAAAAUGAUACAAAUGACACAGACGACAAAAAUGGCAGAAGUGACAGGAAAUAAUCCAAAACAAGGGUUAAUACAUAAAACGAACCGAACCGAUUUUGAUGAUCAUAAUAAUGAUGAACAUAUUAAUGAAUAUAACUUAGGAGAACAUGAUGGAAUGGAAAAAAAUUCAGCUCGAAAUGGAAAAAAUGAGAAAUACCAUUAUCAUAAAAGAAAAGGCUAUGUUCAAUCGUUAAUUCAUAGUUUUAAUAAGAAAUCGCAAAAAAAUAUUGAUAAAAAUAAUUCAUAUUUAAAAGAUGGUUAUGGUACUACUACUAACCAAACUAAUGACCAUAAUACUGUUUAUGAUGUUGUAAAAAAUAAUGUUAAUAAUAAUAAAAGUUUGAAUAAUGUUAAUUUGAAAUCACAGUAUGCUUCGUUAAAUGUAGAAAAGAGUGUACAAGAGAAUGUACACGAGAAAAAACACACACAAAACUUAAAAGACGACAAUAUAGUUAUAAUUGAUAAUAAAAAAAAAAUAAAAAGAAAUGAUGAUGAAGUAAAAUUUAAAAAAGCGUUACCAGAAAUUAGUAAAAAUAACAUACACUUUAAUUUUAGUGAGUAUACUACUAAUAAUAGGUUAAGUGCGUAUAAUCAAGCUAAUACAAAAAAUAAAAACUUGCACAUGGUAAAUACAUCAGAAUAUACGAAUUUAAAAAGAAACAAAAAAGAUGAGCUGAACGAAGGGCAGAGAAGUAGAAAAAACUCAUUUUUUGAUAGUUUCAUCUCAACAAAUACCGAACUGAGUAAAAGUUUUAACAACACGAAUUCUAAUUAUAGUAUGUUACUUAUGCAGAGUAAAAUGGAUAUUUCGCAAAAUAACGAAAGUGAUUAUGGCAGCAGUAUACACAGAAGUAGUAAACCCCCAUCUGUCGAUCAAAUGAAGUCCGAAGAAAAAGGCAACGAGGAAUAUAACAAAAAAGAGAAAGUCAAAAAAAGUAACAUGAGUGCUUUUAAAAAAAUUUUUAAUUUAAAUAGGAAGAAAAAAAAUAAAGAUGAUUUAGAUAAAAGAGGUAAUAAAAUAAAAAAAAAAAAAACAGAAUCAGAUACAGAAAGAUAUAAUAAUCGUAACAUCAAUCAUAAUAAUAAUCAUAAUAAUAAAAAAAAAAAAAGUGAAACAAGUAUUAAUAAAAAUUUCAGCAUAAGCAUGACUCAAAACGAUAAUUUGAAAAAUAGCAAAAGUGAAAUAUAUAGUAAUAGUAAAAAUAAUGUGAUUUCAAAUAAUCAGUCAUAUUUAUCAGAUGAAUAUAAAUAUGACAAUGAUAUUGAAUUUGAAAUAUUACAAAAAGAAGUAGGAGAUCAUUUACAUCUUAAAGAUGAACAAAAAAAACAGGAAACUAUUAAUGAAUUAAAUUAUGACGAAAAUUAUGGAGACAGUGUCAAUGCACGUUUUACGAAAAACACACAUAUAAAGGGGUAUAGUAAGUUAUAUGAAUUGGGCGAUGAAAGCGAUGGAAGUGAUGGAAGUAGCGAAAAUGGUAGUAAAAAAAAAAUGAAAAAACAUCAUAACUGUAAAGAAGGUAAUGCUAGCGACCAUGGUGUUAAUGUACACGAAAAUAGUAGUAGGUAUGGAGGAGACCAUCUCAAUUACGCUAGCGAACAUAUGGAAUAUACUGGGCGUACUACACAAGUGAAUGACGAAAAGCGUAAUAAUAACAACGAAAAUAACAAAACAACACAAAACAACACACAAAACAAUACAAAAAACAAUACAAAAAACAAUACAAAAAACAAUAUACAAAACAAUAUAAAAAACAACACACAAAACAAUACAAAAAACAACACACAAAACAAUANNNNNNNNNNCAACACACAAAACAAUACAAAAAACAACACACAAAACAAUACAAAAAGCAAUACACAAAUUAGAGACGAUUUAAUAAUAACAAAACAAUUUAAAAAACGAAAUGAUUGGCUUAAAAAAAAAGGAAAUAAAUCAUGUUCUCAUUUAAAAUUUAUUGAUCAGAUAGAAGUUAAAAAUAAUAAUAUUUUAUUAAAAGAAUCACCAAAUGUUUCUAAUGUUUUAAUAAAAGAGAACAGUACUACUACACCUGUUCGUGAUUUUAGUAAAAACAUAACUGAUGAAAAAAAGCAUAACUACAAUAAGAGAGAUGAAAAAAAUGUUGUAAGGAAUAUGUUUAUGGAUGAUAUUGUGUUAAAUCAUGAGGUUGCUAAUCAUAAUCGUGCUAGAAGUAGUAGUAGUAGUAGUGGUAGUAGUAGUGGUAGUGGUGGUAGUAGCCGUAAUGAUAAUAAGAAAUACAAAGAAAAAGAUAAAAAAUUAACAGAUUCUUAUUUGUAUGAUUAUUCAAAUAAAGAUGAUAAUGUAUAUGAAAAAUUUUCUAAGAUUGGAUCGAUUAAAGAAAAAAAAAAAAAAAUAAAAUUAACAAAUUCUUUAAAAAUUUAGGAAAAUUGAGAUUUAAAAGUCCAAAAAAAAACAAAAAAACUAAAUUAACAGAUGUUGAUGAUAAUAUAUUAGAUGCUGUUGAUCGUGAUGACUAUAAUCAUUGUAUAAGUAAAGGUAAGAAGUCGAAAAGUAAUCCUAGUAUUAGUGAUAUUAAUUUAGAAUCGGAAGUUUUGAAGAUCCCUUCAUGGGAUAGUGAAUUAAGUGAGCACAGUGUAGUUAGUAGUAAAAGUUCUGUUAGUAAUAAGGGUAGUGUUAUUAGUAAAAGUCAUAGUAUGAGUAAAAGUCAUAUUAUUAGUAAAAAUCGUAUUAUUAGUACUAAAAACGGUAUUCGUAGUAAAAGCUACAUUAGUAGUAACAAAAGCGAUGUUAGUAACAAAAAAAUGAGUGAUAAUACUAAUAAGUUUUAUUCAUAUGUACACAAAUUGAAGCAUAAAAGUGAAGAAUCUCUACCUGUACAUGUGAAUACGUCAGAUAAACAGUUUAAAUUGAGCAUGGAAAAAAAAAAAAA